UGUCAAAUGUAUGAAAUAUUUAAUAAAUUGUAUUAUAAAAUACAUGAUAUUAUGCCUUUUUAGUAUAACCAAUUCAAAUCUUUAAUCUUUCUAAAUGUAACGUGAUGAAAACGCUAUAAAAGCACUACACUAAAGGGAAACAUAGGGGGAACUGAGUUCGACACAACACCGGCAUUUCUGCUUGUUUGUACCCUGAGGUAAGUAAACUUUCUACAUUUUUGAAACGAUAUUACUGAAAUAUUUAGUAUAAUUAGUUAAUAUUUAUUUUGUUAGAGUAGGUAUUGUGCUAAAUAGUGAUACUAGCUACAUUUAUAAUAUUUACCUCAGUUAAAAAAUACUGCUGGUAACGUUAAAGCACUGACGGGCUUCGUCAACCGUCAGUUAUAAAAGCUCUGUUAAAUACAUUUUGUUCCGGGUUUUAAUGAAUUACGUUACAGUCCUGCUUUAUUUCUUUGUCAUUUUAAAUUAAAUUGCCAAGCACAAUAAGACAGCUGUGUUGUAAGGAGACGAAAUUCGAGACAGGGGUGUUAUUUCAAUGAAGCGCGUGGUCAAAGGAACCGGGUGGAAGACGGUGGAAGGGAAAUUAUAUGUAAAUGUUUGUCGCAGUUUUACACAUAUUCCAUAACCAUGGUUAAUAAAUGGUCAGACACGUCACUGGCUUUAAAAUAUAAACCCCAUUGAUGCAAAAAGAUGCUGCAUGGAAUGACAAUGUGGUUACAGACUUGGUGAAGAACAUGGAAACAUCUCUUAAUAAAAUGGCCCCAAACAUCAUCAGGAGUGCAAAAGAAGGAAGUAAAAAACAUCUCUAUGCCAAUCUCAUUGGAGAGGAAACCACAGAAGGUCUGGUGAGGAAUGCUGCACUUAUGUUAUUGCAAGCAUUAUUUCAAGAAAAUCCCAGCUUCCUUGACUGUGUAAAUAGUGAACCCAAAAGUCCCACACCAACCAUAGUGUUCAACGGCUCUCCUGAUCUUCUCAAAUCUGAAAGUAUCAACUUUAUAAUGGACAAUGUGAACUUAAUAUGUGGAAGACAUUGACAUCACAGGCUGUGGAAUGACUGUGUCACAGGUCGGAGAAGCGGACCAGAGAAGCGGACCGCCCCUGUCUCGAGGAGGUCCCAAAGCACCCCAAUGACCAGACAAACCAGAGAUAAGUAAAAUAUAGAAAUAGAAGCUUUAUUUAAAUUAUUUAAAACUAAAGUGGGGAAUGGGAAAGGGAAUCUAAAAAUCUCGCUUCUCGUCCUCAGGGGGAGUAUUACGGGGCCAGGGACGUUGGAGGGGUUUCCACGUGACUCCAGCUGGAACACCGCUACAGAGCGUAUCUGGGUGGGUUGGGCACACACCGUCGCGGCGGCCCCUGAUGGCAUCCACAAAGGUCCAAGACCCUCCUAAGCUCCCAGCCGUAGCAGAACUACGUAUUUCAGCACCCGAACGACUAACAACCCAGCCGGCAUCUGCAGCAAAUAUCCAACGCAAUCAAACUUCACUCUGACAAGUAACUUCCUAUACACAACCACGCCGUCCUUUCGCCCGGACCAGCCCCGCACUCUUUCCGCCCACUACCUAGCGGUCGCCGGAUCAGCAGAGCCUGUGGACUCUUCGGAGGCUGGUCUUCGUUGUGCUGCCCAAGGCGGAAGUUGACUCGCACGAAAAUAGACCCUUCCGGUAACUUCUACCUUCUCUCUUUAUAUCCUCCUCCAUGGCGUGGCUCGCCCAACCAUCGCUCGCCACGUCACUCACACAGCUGUGCCUUGUUUCAGCAAGUGCCGGUGUCUGUACAAACCGGUCCGGGUGGAGCCUCUUCACUCUCCUUUUGGUUCCGCCCCGCAUAGUCACUCCGUGACAACUGUUUGCGUUUUUUUUUCUCCUCAAUGUUCAAUACCCUUUUGCCAUUAAGCAUACAGUGACUUUAAUUUAUAAAAUAUAUGCUUAAGUUUUAAUACCUGUACAAAACAAAUGUACAAUCAACUUGUGUAAAUUUUAAUAAAAAUUUAAGCUUUAAUUGCUUGUUCAUGUUAGUUCAGAGUGCAUUAACUAAUGUUAACAAGAUUUUAAUAAAGUAAUUGUUGAAAUUAACAUUAACAAAGAUUAAUAAAGGCUGUAUAAGUGCAGUUCAUUAUUAGUUCAUGUUAACUAAUGUAGCUAACUAAUGUUAACUAAUGAACCUUAUUGUAAAGUGUUACCGUGAUUUCUUUUCAUCAUUUCAGACACAUGUAAAAGUUACUAAAAAUUAGUACUGCAUAUACUGUACAGUAUCUAUGCGUAAGGGAAAUAACUUGAACAAAAUUUUUAAUGUAUAGUGUAAUUAAGAGUUGCUGUUUAAUACAGAGAUGCAAUUUAUUUAUAUAUAUUAUUUAGAUAUAAACGUAUGUAUGUUUAUUAAAAAGUGAAAAUGCUUAAUGGAAAUAAUUAAAUAACUAAAUGGUUGAAUGUAAUGAGACAUUUUAAAUGUAAACUAAAGUUUUGCUGUCUAAUACAGAAUAAAGAGAUGUGAUUUUAA